rnacentral:rRNA from 1 species
UGCAAGUCGAGCGGGGACAUACGACGGAGUCAAAGUUUCGGAUGGAGACGAAGAUGUAUGUUCUAGCGGCGGACGGGUGAGUAACGCGUGAGCAACCUGUCCCUUACGGGGGGAUAACACAGCGAAACGUUGUACUAAUACCGCAUAAGACCACGGGAGGACAUCCUCCAGGGGUCAAAGGAGCGAAUCCGGUAAGGGGUGGGCUCGCGUCCGAUUAGAUAGUUGGUGAGGUAACGGCCCACCAAGUCAACGAUCGGUAGCCGACCUGAGAGGGUGAUCGGCCACAUUGGGACUGAGACACGGCCCAAACUCCUACGGGAGGCAGCAGUGGGGAAUAUUGGGCAAUGGGGGAAACCCUGACCCAGCAACGCCGCGUGAGGGAAGAAGGUUUUCGGAUCGUAAACCUCUGUCCUUGGUGAAGAGGAAGAGACGGUAGCCAAGGAGGAAGCCCCGGCUAACUACGUGCCAGCAGCGGC